rnacentral:rRNA from 1 species
AGAGUUUGAUCCUGGCUCAGAAUGAACGCUGGCGGCGUGCUUAACACAUGCAAGUCGCACGAGAACGUUUCAGCUUGCUGAAACUAGUAAAGUGGCGCACGGGUGAGUAACGCGUGGGUAAUCUACCUCCGAAUUGGGGAUAACAUUGCGAAAGCGAUGCUAAUACCGGAUAAUACCUUAAAAGCUUCGGUUUUAAAGAUCAAAGGUGGCCUCUACAUGUAAGCUUCUGUUUGGAGAUGAGCCCGCGUACCAUUAGCUUGUUGGUAGGGUAAUGGCCUACCAAGGCUACGAUGGGUAGCUGGUCUGAGAAGAUGAUCAGCCACACUGGAACUGACACAAGGUCCAGACUCCUACGGGAGGCAGCAGUGGGGAAUUUUGCGCAAUGGGGGAAACCCUGACGCAGCAACGCCCCGUGAGUGAGGAAGGCUUUCGGGUCGUAAAGUUCUGUCAAGUGAGAAGGACCCACAUGGUGAUAAUACCACUAUGUGCUGACGGUAUCACUAAAGGAAGCACCGGCUAACUCCGUGCCAGCAGCCGCGGUAAUACGGGGGGUGCAAGCGUUAUUCGGAAUUACUGGGCGUAAAGGGCGCGCAGGCGGUCUUUUAAGUCAGAUGUGAAAGCCCGGGGCUCAACCCCGGAAGUGCAUUUGAAACUAAGGGACUUGAGUAUGGGAGAGGGAAGUGGA